GUUGGGGUAUGCCUUCUUGGCCUCCUCAAGUUCCUUCAAAACCUGAGAAGCAUCAGUGGUUCCAAACAUGGGCAGCUUCCACAUUGUCCAGUAACGUCCAUCAUAGUAUCCUGGUGACUUGUGGUUCUCACGGUACACAAACCCUUUCUAUAAACAUAAGCACACACACCACAAUUUAGAGAUUAGCUAUCAACAUUCAAACCCAAGUAGUACAAAAAGAAAAAAAACAUUAAAAUAUCAUCCACCCAUGAAUUAUAUCGUCCACGCAUGAACUAUGUUUUUACUUGUCAUAUAAAGAUAGCAUUUAGAUAUGUGUGUUUGGUUUCUCAUUAGGAGUGAGACCUUAGCUCUUUUUCUUUUUAUGCAUUGUACCAAAAAAAAAAAAAAAAAACCUCAUAAUCAUCUAUAGCACACUGAAAUAAGUUUUGAAUGAAAAAUAUUAAUGAAGAAUUGAUUUUUGAUCAGUAGAAAGUGUGGCUUCUCGCUUUCUUCUGUUAAUAUAAAUAAUUAAUAGAUUUUACAACUGAAUUUUACAGCACUACGAAACAAAAAUCUUUUAUUUUUUGUAUCCUGAAUCUAGACAUAAAUCAGUUCAAUUUAAACUAAAUUUUCCUAUAAUUAAUUUUACAAAAAUCAUUUUCACUAAAAUCAACUGCAGAUCCAAACAUCUUGCACUUAGUAUAUGUGUUAAACUUAGUUUAUUAGGAAGCUCUUUAAACAAAAAUGAUAUUAGGACACACACCUAUUUCAAUGUGGAUAGAAUUGACAUAUGAAAAUUGGGUUUCAGUGGAGUAUGCAUAUUGUAAAGAUGUUUAAAAAUCAAAAUUGGUGGAUAAAUGCUCUAUUAAGCACAUGUAUAAUGACUAAACAUGACACACAGUUCCAAAUAUUUGAUGUGUGUGGUGGGAGUCCAAUACUGUACAGUGCUCUAAAUAUCACCAAAUUGAAGAACAAAAAAUUGUAAGUGAAAAUUAACCUCAGUCUCAAAUUCCAAGCAAGGAACCCAUCCCUUCCUGAUAAGGUAUUCUACUUCCUUUGCCAAUUGCUCCACGGUGAGUGGUGGAAGGUAAGAAAGGGUCUCAAACUUCUUCUUGCCAAUUGGAGGCCACACCUAAAGAAUUGUAUGCACAAUAAAUUUUGAGUACAUUAAAGAGGUUACCAUAGUUUCACUUUUGUGUGCACAUUUGCUAUAUGACAAUUUAAGGUACAUAAAUAUGUAAAAUUGAGCAAAUUAAUCAAAAAAAUUAUGUGUUACCUGCAUGCAGUUGACUCUUCCACCAUUGCUUGCAAUGGAGGUGAUGUCAUUGUUGGCCUUUCUUGUAACUGGGAAACCAGCCAUGGAUUUGAGACCAGUGAAUGGGGCAACCAUGUUGGCAUGGUUAACAGUGGUAACAGCAGGGGAGGAAAUCAUAGAGGAGGCCAUUUUCCCUUCUCCUUCUCGGUUCUCUGCUACUUGGUUUUCCAAGCUCUGCUAAAGCUUGCUAUAUAUAAUGGUGAGAUUU
rnacentral:lncRNA from 1 species